rnacentral:rRNA from 1 species
CCCUUAGAUGUUCUGGGCUGCACGCGCGCUACACUGAUGCGCUCAACGAGUUUUAACCUUGCCCGGGAGGGUUGGGUAAUCUUUUCAAAACGCAUCGUGAUGGGGAUAGAUUAUUGCAAUUAUUAAUCUUCAACGAGGAAUUCCUAGUAAGCGCGAGUCAUCAACUCGUGCUGAUUACGUCCCUGCCCUUUGCACACACCGCCCGUCGCUCCUACCAAUUGAGUGAUCCGGUGAAUAAUUCGGACUGCGGCAUUGACCGGUUCCCGAUCGUUGCUGCGGAAAGUUUAGUGAACCUUAUCACUUAGAGGAAGGAGAAGUCGUAACA